GAGCUUGCUCCUGUGACGCGAGUGGCGGACGGGUGAGUAACACGUAGGCAACCUGCCCAUCAGACCGGGAUAACCACGGGAAACCGUGGCUAAUACCGGAUAAUCCUUCUCCACACAGGUGGGAAAGUUGAAAGGCGGUCUUUUGGCUGUCACUGAUGGAUGGGCCUGCGGCGCAUUAGCUGGUUGGUGGGGUAACGGCCCACCAAGGCGACGAUGCGUAGCCGACCUGAGAGGGUGAUCGGCCACACUGGGACUGAGACACGGCCCAGACUCCUACGGGAGGCAGCAGUAGGGAAUCUUCCGCAAUGGACGAAAGUCUGACGGAGCAACGCCGCGUGAGUGAAGAAGGGUUUCGGCUCGUAAAACUCUGUUGUCAGGGAAGAACGCCGACGGGAGUAACUGCCCGUCGGGUGACGGUACCUGACCAGAAAGCCACGGCUGACUACGUGCCAGCAGCCGCGGUAAUACGUAGGUGGCAAGCGUUAUCCGGAAUUAUUGGGCGUAAAGCGCGCGUAGGCGGUUCGUUAAGUCUGAUGUGAAAGCCCCCGGCUCAACCGGGGAGGGUCAUUGGAAACUGGCGGACUUGAGUGCAGAAGAGGAGAGUGGAAUUCCAUGUGUAGCGGUGAAAUGCGCAGAGAUAUGGAGGAACACCAGAGGCGAAGGCGGCUCUCUGGUCUGCAACUGACGCUGAGGUGCGAAAGCGUGGGGGAUCAAACAGGAUUAGAUACCCUGGUAGUCCACGCCGUAAACGAUGAGUGCUAAGUGUUAGGGGGUUUCCGCCCCUUAGUGCUGCAGCUAACGCAUUAAGCUCUCCGCCUGGGGAGUACGGGCCGCAAGGUUGAAACUCAAAGGAAUUGACGGGGACCCGCACAAGCGGUGGAGCAUGUGGGUUUAAUUCGAAGCAACGCGAAGAACCUUACCAAAUCUUGACAUCCUCUGACCACCCUGAAACAGGGUUUCCCUUCGGGGCAGAAUGACAGGUGUUGCAUGGUGUCGUCAGCUCGUGUCNUGAAAUGNUGGGUUAAGUUCC
rnacentral:rRNA from 1 species